UGGGGAAUUUUGGACAAUGGGCGAAAGCCUGAUCCAGCAAUGCCGCGUGUGUGAAGAAGGCCUUCGGGUUGUAAAGCACUUUUGUCCGGAAAGAAAUCCUUGGCUCUAAUACAGUCGGGGGAUGACGGUACCGGAAGAAUAAGCACCGGCUAACUACGUGCCAGCAGCCGCGGCAAUACGUAGGGUGCAAGCGUUAAUCGGAAUUACUGGGCGUAAAGCGUGCGCAGGCGGUUUGCUAAGACCGAUGUGAAAUCCCCGGGCUCAACCUGGGAACUGCAUUGGUGACUGGCAGGCUAGAGUAUGGCAGAGGGGGGUAGAAUUCCACGUGUAGCAGUGAAAUGCGUAGAGAUGUGGAGGAAUACCGAUGGCGAAGGCAGCCCCCUGGGCCAAUACUGACGCUCAUGCACGAAAGCGUGGGGAGCAAACAGGAUUAGAUACCCUGGUAGUCCACGCCCUAAACGAUGUCAACUAGUUGUUGGGGAUUCAUUCCUUAGUAACGUAGCUAACGCGUGAAGUUGACCGCCUGGGGAGUACGGUCGCAAGAUU
rnacentral:rRNA from 1 species